rnacentral:rRNA from 1 species
GAUGAACGCUGGCGGCGUGCCUAAUACAUGCAAGUCGAGCGAACAGACGAGGAGCUUGCUCCUUUGACGUUAGCGGCGGACGGGUGAGUAACACGUGGAUAACCUACCUAUAAGACUGGGAUAACUUCGGGAAACCGGAGCUAAUACCGGAUAACAUGUUGAACCGCAUGGUUCAACAGUGAAAGGCGGUCUUGCUGUCACUUAUAGAUGGAUCCGCGCCGCAUUAGCUAGUUGGUAAGGUAACGGCUUACCAAGGCAACGAUGCGUAGCCGACCUGAGAGGGUGAUCGGCCACACUGGAACUGAGACACGGUCCAGACUCCUACGGGAGGCAGCAGUAGGGAAUCUUCCGCAAAGGGCGAAAGCCUGACGGAGCAACGCCGCGUGAGUGAAGAAGGUCUUCGGAUCGUAAAACUCUGUUAUUAGGGAAGAACAAAUGUGUAAGUAACUAUGCACGUCUUGACGGUACCUAAUCAGAAAGCCACGGCUAACUACGUG